rnacentral:sRNA from 1 species
AGGGAUCAUUACCGAGUUUACAACUCCCAAACCCAAUGUGAACGUUACCAAACUGUUGCCUCGGCGGGAUCUUCUGCCCCGGGUGCGUCGCAGCCCCGGACCAAGGCGCCCGCCGGAGGAAUCAACCAAAACUCUUAUUGUAUACCCCCUCGCGGGUUUUUUUUAUAAUCUGAGCCUUCUCGGCGCCUCUCGUAGGCGUUUCGAAAAUGAAUCAAAACUUUCAACAACGGAUCUCUUGGUUCUGGCAUCGAUGAAGAACGCAGCGAAAUGCGAUAAGUAAUGUGAAUUGCAGAAUUCAGUGAAUCAUCGAAUCUUUGAACGCACAUUGCGCCCGCCAGUAUUCUGGCGGGCAUGCCUGUCCGAGCGUCAUUUCAACCCUCGAACCCCUCCGGGGGGUCGGCGUUGGGGAUCGGCCUUCCUUCACGGGGGCCGUCCCCGAAAUACAGUGGCGGUCUCGCCGCAGCCUCUCCUGCGCAGUAGUUUGCACACUCGCAUCGGGAGCGCGGCGCGUCCACAGCCGUUAAACACCCAACUUUCUGAAAUGUUGACCUCGGAUCAGGUAGGAAUACCCGCUGAACUUAA